GAUGAACGCUAGCGGGAGGCCUAAUACAUGCAAGUCGAACGGUAACAGGAUAGCAAUAUCGCUGACGAGUGGCGCACGGGUGCGUAACGCGUACACAAUCUGCCCUAUACUGGAGCAUACCCCCAAGAAAUUGGGACUAAUUCUCCAUAAUAUAUUUGGAUGACAUCAUUUGAAUAUUAAAACUCCGGUGGUAUAAGAUGAGUGUGCGUCCGAUUAGGUAGUUGGUGAGGUAACGGCUCACCAAGCCGACGAUCGGUAGCUGGUCUGAGAGGACGAUCAGCCACACGGGCACUGAGACACGGGCCCGACUCCUACGGGAGGCAGCAGUAGGGAAUAUUGGACAAUGGGCGCAAGCCUGAUCCAGCCAUCCCGCGUGAAGGAUUAAGGCCCUAUGGGUUGUAAACUUCUUUUCUCUGGGAAUAAAAAGCGGGGUUCACCCUGCCUUGAAGGUAUCAGAGGAAUAAGCACCGGCUAACUCCGUGCCAGCAGCCGCAGUAA
rnacentral:rRNA from 1 species